rnacentral:rRNA from 1 species
UACGGGGGGGGCAAGCGUUGUUCGGAAUUACUGGGCGUAAAGGGCUCGUAGGCGGCCAACUAAGUCGGAUGUGAAAUCCCCAGGCUCAACUUGGGAACUGCAUCCGAUACUGGAUGGCUUGAAUCCGGGAGAGGGAUGCAGAAUUCCAGGUGUAGCGGUGAAAUGCGUAGAUAUCUGGAGGAAUACCGGUGGCGAAGGCAGCUUACUACCCGAAUAUUGACACUGAGGCACGAAAGCGUGGGGAUCAAACAGG